rnacentral:rRNA from 1 species
UACGGGGGGGGGCAAGCGUUGUUCGGAAUUACUGGGCGUAAAGCGCGCGCAGGUGGGUGAAUAAGUCGGAAGUGAAAUCUUGAGGCUCAACCUCGAGGCUGCUCCCGAAACUGUUCGCCUAGGGACUGGUAGAGGCUGGUAGAAUUCCCGGUGUAGCGGUGGAAUGCGUAGAGAUCGGGAAGAAUACCUGUGGCGAAGGCGGCCAGCUGGGCCAGAUCCGACACUGAGGCGCGAAAGCGUGGGGAGCAAACAGG